GGGUAGUUUGACUGGGGCGGUCUCCUCCCAAAGAGUAACGGAGGAGCACGAAGGUGGGCUAAUCACGGUUGGACAUCGUGAGGUUAGUGCAAUGGCAUAAGCCCGCUUAACUGCGAGAAUGACGGUUCGAGCAGGUGCGAAAGCAGGUCAUAGUGAUCCGGUGGUUCUGUAUGGAAGGGCCAUCGCUCAACGGAUAAAAGGUACUCCGGGGAUAACAGGCUGAUACCGCCCAAGAGUUCAUAUCGACGGCGGUGUUUGGCACCUCGAUGUCGGCUCAUCACAUCCUGGGGCUGAAGUCGGUCCCAAGGGUAUGGCUGUUCGCCAUUUAAAGUGGUACGCGAGCUGGGUUUAGAACGUCGUGAGACAGUUCGGUCCCUAUCUGCCGUGGGCGUUGGAAGAUUGAAGGGGGCUGCUCCUAGUACGAGAGGACCGGAGUGGACGAACCUCUGGUGUUCGGGUUGUGUCGCCAGACGCAUUGCCCGGUAGCUAAGUUCGGAAUUGAUAAGCGCUGAAAGCAUCUAAGCGCGAAGCGAGCCCUGAGAUGAGUCUUCCCUGAUACUUUAAGUAUCCUAAAGGGUUGUUCGAGACUAGAACGUUGAUAGGCAGGGUGUGUAAGCGUUGUGAGGCGUUGAGCUAA
rnacentral:rRNA from 1 species